rnacentral:rRNA from 1 species
AUUGAACGCUGGCGGCAUGCCUUACACAUGCAAGUCGAACGGUAACAGGUCUUCGGAUGCUGACGAGUGGCGAAUGGGUGAGUAAUACAUCGGAACGUGCCCAGUCGUGGGGGAUAACGUAGCGAAAGCUACGCUAAUACCGCAUACGACCUGAGGGUGAAAGCGGGGGAUCUUCGGACCUCGCGCGAUUGGAGCGGGCGAUGGCAGAUUAGGUAGUUGGUGGGGUAAAGGCCUACCAAGCCUGCGAUCUGUAGCUGGUCUGAGAGGACGACCAGCCACACUGGGACUGAGACACGGCCCAGACUCCUACGGGAGGCAGCAGUGGGGAAUUUUGGACAAUGGGCGCAAGCCUGAUCCAGCCAUACCGCGUGCGGGAAGAAGGCCUUCGGGUUGUAAACCGCUUUUGUCAGGGAAGAAAUCUUCUGGGCUAAUACCUCGGGAGGAUGACGGUACCUGAAGAAUAAGCACCGGCUAACUACGUGCCAGCCGCCGCGGUAAUAC